GAACACAAGAUAACAUCACUAUACAAUUAUCGCCGGAUAAUUAUACGAAUACGGGUUCCCGGAAGCGCCUAUUUCGACACCGGAACCCAUCGUUGCUCACCCAUCAUCACCGAACCCACAAAAUGAUGAUGGUGACCAGCCAAUAAGGCUCAGCUACAAUUCACAGGAUAAACAAACCACGUCGGAAGAAAUCCGAACUGAAACCGCGUUCUUUCGACGAAUUUCGCCAAAAAACGCACCGAAAUCGACUUCUCAAUUUCCGCGAAGGCUAUCGGAUCAUGGACAAUCAGUCUGAAGGUCAC
rnacentral:lncRNA from 1 species